rnacentral:rRNA from 1 species
GAUGAACGCUGGCGGCGUGCUUAACACAUGCAAGUCGAGCGAGAAACUACAUGCAGACACUUCGGUAGAAGCGAGUAGCGGAAAGCGGCGGACGGGUGAGUAACGCGUAGGCAACCUGCCCUUCACAGAGGUAUAGCCUCGGGAAACCGGGAUUAAAACCACAUAAAAUCAUAGGUUCGCAUGAACCAAAGGUCAAAGAUUUAUCGGUGAAGGAUGGGCCUGCGUCUGAUUAGCUGGUUGGUAGGGUAAAAGCCUACCAAGGCGACGAUCAGUAGCCGACCUGAGAGGGUGAUCGGCCACAUUGGAACUGAGACACGGUCCAAACUCCUACGGGAGGCAGCAGUGGGGGAUAUUGCACAAUGGGGGAAACCCUGAUGCAGCAACGCCGCGUGAGGUAUGAAGGCCUUUGGGUUGUAAGCCUCUGUCCUAGGGGAAGAAAAAAAA